rnacentral:tRNA from 1 species
UACUCAUUUAGUAUAAAAAGUAUAUUAAGCUUCCAACUUUAAGGUUAAAAAUAUUAAAUGAGUA